GAAGUCUACCUAUCUUAUAAAUUUGAGACAAAUUAAAUAGUUAGAUCAAGAGUCAUGAAUUUCUAAAGUUCAAGAAGAGAAAAUCUUUUGCGGAAAAAAUAUGUUUUGAAGGAACUUUUUUAUUUUUUGAGUUUUAUGCAAAUUAAAGGAGUUUUUUGGAAGCUAAGACAAGAUUCAUAUAAAGAUUUAAGUUGAACUCUCUACAGCUAGAUACCUAGUAUAUUCCC
rnacentral:lncRNA from 1 species